rnacentral:ribozyme from 14 species
UAAAUUCAAUGAUAUAUUCAAUAAAUACGAUUCCAACAAAUGAAAAUGAACAGGUAUGGAUGAUACUUGUUCUUCUAUUUUUUUUUGUUUUUUUUUCAUUUCUUGUUUUUCAAAC